AAAUCUGGUGCAGAAGAUACAAAACUUCACAAUGAAUUCAAGUUCAAAAGUGUUCAUUCCUUGGCCAAAGUUGCUCGAUUCAAAAGUUAGUAGAUCAUUUCACCACAUUCGUUAUUCGUCUGGCUGAGUUUGGUGGCAAAUUGGCACGCCCUCAUCAACAUUAUGCGAGUUAUAUAUUAGUUAAAGUGUAAAUAGUAGUUUGUUGCCCACAUUGACGAAGUGCAUAUGUAAUACCAAAUGUAACUCCUAUUUAUACUCCACUUUGGAGAUUAAUGAAUAUACAAGAAAUUCUCAAAUAUUGUCAUAUAUAUUUUUGGUAUUUACCAUAUUUAAUUUGACUUGGCAGUUCGCUCUUGGUGACCAAUGUGCUUUAAUUUUGUGCCCACUUUUGUAGUGAUUUCUUCAUUCAAAAAAAAAAAAAAA
rnacentral:lncRNA from 1 species